rnacentral:rRNA from 1 species
CCUACGGGUGGCAGCAGUGAGGAAUAUUGGUCAAUGGACGCAAGUCUGAACCAGCCAUGCCGCGUGCAGGAAGACGGCUCUAUGAGUUGUAAACUGCUUUUGUACGAGGGUAAACGCAGAUACGCGUAUCUGUCUGAAAGUAUCGUACGAAUAAGGGUCGCCUAACUCCGCUCCAGCAGCCGCGGUAAGACGGAGGAUUCAAGCGUUAUCCGGAUUUAUUGGGUUUAAGGGGUGCGUAGGCGGUCGGAUAAGUUAGAGGUGAAAUCCCGAGGCUCAACUUCGGAAUUGCCUCUGAUACUGUUCGGCUAGAGAGUAGUUGCGGUAGGCAGAAUGUAUGGUGUAGCGGUGAAAUGCGUAGAGAUCAUACAGAACACCGAUUGCGAAGGCAGCUUACCAAUCUAUAUCUGACGUUGAGGCACGAAAGCGUGGGGAGCAAACAGGAUUAGAUACCCGUGUAGUC